rnacentral:rRNA from 1 species
CCUACGGGCAGCAGCAGUGAGGAAUAUUGGUCAAUGGACGAGAGUCUGAACCAGCCAAGUAGCGUGAAGGAUGACUGCCCUAUGGGUUGUAAACUUCUUUUAUAAAGGAAUAAACAGAGGCACGUGUGCCUUUUUGCAUGUACUUUAUGAAUAAGGAUCGGCUAACUCCGUGCCAGAAGCCGCGGUAAUACGGAGGAUCCGAGCGUUAUCCGGUUUUAUGGGGUUUAAAGGGGGGGUAGAUGGGUGGUUACGUAGGGUGUGAAAGGUUGCGGCUCAAGCGGAAAAUUGCCAUUGAUACUGGCAGUCUGGAGUACAGAUGAGGUAGGCGGAAGGCGUGGUGUAGCGGUGAAAUGCUUAGAUAUCACGAAGAACCCCGAUUGCGAAGGCAGCUUACUAAACUGUGACUGACAUUGAUGCUCGAAAGUGUGGGUAUCAAACAGGAUUAGAUACCCCUGUAGUC